GGGACAGAGGCGGCGCUGCCCUUGAGGUCAGGCCCACAGCCGCUGCUCCCUCGUCUCCAGAUCGGCAGAACUGUCGCCGUGAGAGGCUUAAGACCUGGUUCCUCGAGACCCGUCUUGGUCCCCACUCGGCCGUCCGUGUUUAAAGCGAGCCUUUCUGUGCUUCGACAAAUUUAUGCUCUCGUGAAACAACACUGUAAUUAACCUGUGUUGAACCGGCAUCAUUACGGAGAAAGUGAAGAAAUGCACAGAGACUAAAUACGAAGUGCUACAGCUCUGCCAUCCAGACAUCACCCUUGAAAGAAGUUCAAGGAAAUCCAACCAAAUGGGGAGAUAUACCAUGCUCGUGGAUCAGAAAACUUCAUAUUGUUUAAAUGUCCAUUUUCCCCCAACUGAUGUCUAGAUUAAAGGCAUUCAAAAUCAAA